rnacentral:rRNA from 1 species
UACAGAGGGUGCAAGCGUUGUUCGGAAUUAUUGGGCGUAAAGGGCGCGUAGGCGGUGCGGUAAGUCUGCAGUGAAAUCUCUGGGCUCAACUCAGAGUCUGCUGUAGAAACUGCCGUGCUUGAGUGUGGGAGAGGUGAGUGGAAUUCCCGGUGUAGCGGUGAAAUGCGUAGAUAUCAAGAGGAACACCAGUGGCGAAGGCGAGUCCCUGGACAACUUCUGACGCUGAGGCACGAAAGCUAGGGGAGCAAACAGG